rnacentral:rRNA from 1 species
UACGAAGGGGGCUAGCGUUGUUCGGAAUUACUGGGCGUAAAGGGCGCGUAGGCGGUGUGUCAAGUCAGGCGUGAAAGCCCCGGGCUCAACCUGGGAACCGCGCUUGAGACUGGCACGCUCGAGUUCGGGAGAGGAUGGUGGAAUUCCCAGUGUAGAGGUGAAAUUCGUAGAUAUUGGGAAGAACACCGAGGGCGAAGGCAGCCAUCUGGACCGACACUGACGCUGAGGCGCGAAAGCGUGGGGAGCAAACAGG